rnacentral:rRNA from 1 species
UAAGGAAUAUUGGUCAAUGGACGCAAGUCUGAACCAGCCAUGCCGCGUGAAGGAUGAAGGUCCUCUGGAUUGUAAACUUCUUUUAUCUGGGACGAAAACGGGAUUUUUAUCUCAAUUGACGGUACCAGAGGAAUAAGCACCGGCUAACUCCGUGCCAGCAGCCGCGGUAAUACGGAGGGUGCGAGCGUUAUCUGGAUUUACUGGGUUUAAAGGGUGCGUAGGUGGGCUUAUAAGUCAGUGGUGAAAUCUCCGAGCUUAACUUGGAAACUGCCGUUGAUACUAUAGGUCUUGAAUUAUCUGGAGGUAAGCGGAAUAUGUCAUGUAGCGGUGAAAUGCUUAGAUAUGACAUAGAACACCAAUUGCGAAGGCAGCUUACUACAUAUAAAUUGACGCUGAGGCACGAAAGCGUGGGGAUCAAACA